UCCGGAGUUUCUUUUCACACAUGACCUACAUAGCUCACAGAUCUAACUGCGUCGUACUUGAUGCGUGAAAGUAGGUUUCACACCUUCAGUUGUUUCCACUCUUUUAAUUUGCACAGCGUACAUAGUAUUUUAAAGAAGAACUGGAACAACCACUGGCUCACAUAAAACAGUCAUAUAUUGUGUUUUCUCCUGUUUAAUAUCUGUGUGUGAACAUCAGAGCUGCUAAUACAGGAUCUGGGAUAAGUCCAUCCGUUUGAGACCAAGGAUCACCAUGUGGAGGAAUAUUAUUCAGCCAAUGCUCUUUGUCAUUGUCGCCACUUUUGUAAAUGGUGAUGACUCUACCGUGUAUAUACAACAAUUUGAGGGCGUCGUCUCUGCCACAGACGCAGACGCUGUGGUCUCAUUGCCCUGUAACUACACCGCCGCAGUAAAGAUCUGCCCGGUCAUACACUGGUACCGGGAGGAGGGAGAUUCAAAGACACUAAAAGCGAAGAUAGACAAAACCAACGAGCUGGUGUCGUACGGAGAUUUCUCAGGAAGAGUUGGGCGUGGUGAAAAGGGCGCUCUGAUGAUUAUCAGACCAACUGUCAACGAUUCGGGUCACUAUAUCUGUUACGUGGAUAUCAGCGACAUUCACUUGAUGUACGCGACAGGUCCCGUGAUACUGAAUGUCACCCAGAGUUUCAGUGAUCCUCCAUACAA